CAACUAUUUUUUACCUUUCUCUAGUCAGGAUGAAUUUCGCAUUUCUACUUCUUGUGCUCUGUUACGCUCUGGUGUACGUCGGGGCUGUAGCAAACUGGGUCACUAAUGACGUUGUCGCAGAUGAUGGGAUUGAGAAAAGAAUUUGUAAAGCCGCCGUCUGUUCUCUACAAGGAGGAGGACUUGGUUAAAUAAAGAGUCAGAGCCGAUUUCUGUGUCUCUUGUUGCUGUCUUAGUACUGGUGAAUUCUCACCCUGUACUUGAAUAAUAAAGCAAUUUUAAAACGGCAAAA
rnacentral:sRNA from 1 species